rnacentral:lncRNA from 13 species
CACAUGUGGUAUGCCGAUACCACUGAAAUUUCUCUCAGUACAGAUGGUCAAAUAAAAAUAUGUGAUGUUCACUGAGAGAAGGUAAAUGUGUCCUUAGGCCUCUCCUGCAAAAAGCAAACAUGGAACUGUGUUGUGCCCCUCCAGCUGACCUUGCUUUGCUCUCUCAUUGUCAUAUCUUAAUUCACCAGAGAGUUGAUGGUAAAGUGUAAAAACAUGUUUUAUGAGCCUCAUUUUAUUCUUAUACAGUUAUAAUAGUAUCUACAGAAUGUGAGCUCUUAAUUCACAUUUUAUCCAUCACUUAUUUUAUCUCCACAGAUGUAUGCACAAUUGUUCUUUUAGGACUCAGUUCAGCCCACAGAUGUCUCCACAGCUGCUCUCUAUUCCAAAGAGGAUUUUUUUUCCUUGGAAGCAGUCAUAGAAAGGAUUGACUGUAAGGAGAAAAGUGACCUCUUGGUGAAUGAGAGACAAAUUACACAAAGGCUACUCCUACAAAAAGGAAGAUCACU